GUGAUAUUUGGCGAAACAAGAAAGAUGAAACUUUACGUUGUGGCUUUGCUGCUGGUACUUGUGCUUGUUACAGAAUCUAAACCACCAAGUUCACCCGGAACGGCCAAAAGUAGAUAUGUUAGCAUCUCGGGUCCUCCUGGUGCACGGACAAAAGUACAGUCCAGGAACAGGAAUAACAUGUCGCCUCACGUAACUAAAGACGGGCGGAUGGCGUUUUGAAGGAAUAGCAAUGAGAGUGUUAACUAGCAGAUGACCAUUUUUAGUGAGGAACGAACAGCUCAAUAAAGUGUUAAAAUAG
rnacentral:lncRNA from 1 species